rnacentral:rRNA from 1 species
UCGAACGAUUAAACUUCCCUUCGGGGAAGAUAUAAAGUGGCGUACGGGUGAGUAACACGUAAGUAAUCUACCUUCGAGUGGGGAAUAACGUCGGGAAACCGACGCUAAUACCGCAUAAUGCAGCGGCACCUAAUGGUGACAGUUGUUAAAGAUUUAUCGCUUGAAGAGGAGCUUGCGGCAGAUUAGCUAGUUGGUAAGGUAAUGGCUUACCAAGGCAACGAUCUGUAUCCGGUCUAAGAGGACGGUCGGACACACUGACACUGAAUAACGGGUCAGACUCCUACGGGAGGCAGCAGUCGGGAAUUUUGGGCAAUGGGCGAAAGCCUGACCCAGCAACGCCGCGUGAAGGAUGAAGUCUUUCGGGAUGUAAACUUCGUAAGAAUAGGAAGAAUAAAUGACGGUACUAUUUGUAAGGUCCGGCUAACUACGUGCCAGCAGCCGCGGUAAUACGUAGGGACCAAGCGUUGUUCGGAUUUACUGGGCGUAAAGGGCGCGUAGGCGGCGUGUUAAGUCACUUGUGAAAUCUCUAAGCUUAACUUAGAACGGUCAAGUGAUACUGAUGUGCUAGAGUGCAGAAGGGGCAACCGGAAUUCUUGGUGUAGCGGUGAAAUGCGUAGAUAUCAAGAGGGACACCUGAGGUGAAGACGGGUUGCUGGGCUGACACUGACGCUGAGGCGCGAAAGCUAGGGUAGCAAACGGGAUUAGAUACCCCGGUAGUCCUAGCCCUAAACGAUGAAUACUUGGUGUCUGGAGUUUUUAUUCUCCCGGGUGCCGUCGCUAACGUUUUAAGUAUUC